ACAGACAUUCCUCUCAGCACUUAUCACUCUCUUACAUUUGUUUUGGCAGAUACUGAGUCUUGGGUAAGAACAACAAGAAACGGUUGGAGGGAAAGCUACCUCAGGGGGGGAAAAAGUUGCAGUUAUUGUCAGGGGAAGAAACUGUGACAAAAUUAACUCCUAUCUCGAAGAAAAACAAAUACUAGCAAAAUGGACUCCAGAGAUCUGACAAGCGUAAGAACGUAAAUGCCACAGCUCGGGAAGGCAACAUUUAAACUUUAUUUGCGGUACAGAAUGAAGCCUCGUGAUUGGCCAACGGUCUAGAAGUCAACUUGAAGAAACUAAAAACUCCAGUCCAACGAAGCCUACAGAAAAGAGACUUUUGAGGAGACGUAAACCCACAAAGACAAAGACAACACAAGAAAUAACAACCAGGCCUGUGGAGAAGAAGAAAGGGAACAAACCAGAAACAUGGAGGCAGACCAGUCAAUGGAGGCAGACCAGUCAGUUAGUGGUGGUCUAUGCAACAGAUCCAAGAAAGAGGAAUGCUAACUGUCCAGUCAUGACAGCAGAGAAAAAAAAGACACAGAGCCCAACGCAAACCCGAACGCGAGGCUGCUCGACACACUGGGAGCCAAGAAGCCCGCUCAGCGGCUCAGUGACACACUUCUACUUCACACGGAAGGUACACGAAGCUUGACGUAUCAAGUCUUUCCAGAAAGGGACAUAUGCACUUCGAGAAGAUAAGUUGAUAAACAUCUGUUUACUGACCCAAGAACAACUCUGCAAGACUAACCAGAAGGCCUCAUGUUCACUUUGAACAGACUGAUGAAGCAGAGGAGGACACCUGGUGCAGACUCUGAGGCGAGUCAAGCGCUGCAUCUACAUUUCAGCAAACAAUUUGAGUCUGUCUUGACAGUUUCUCGGCGGUUAAACUGAAAUUCAGAAUCCCCGUGCUCAUGUGUCAUUUACAGCAUAUGAGAUCUAUACGUGGCAUAAACCAUAUAAACAGGAUAUGGGUCUCAAUUAUGAAGGCCGCGUUCUAUGCCUACCUGGAAGGCAAUCUCUACCAGCGGGCCACCAGAUGCAUGCAUGCACUAAUCCUGUCUUACUGUCUUUCCUUCAACAAAAUUAACAUUAAAGUACAAAAAGGCAU
rnacentral:lncRNA from 1 species